GUAGGGACCAAGCGUUGUUCGGAUUUACUGGGCGUAAAGGGCGCGUAGGCGGCGCUGUAAGUCACUUGUGAAAUCUCUGAGCUUAACUCGGAACGGUCAAGUGAUACUGCAGUGCUAGAGUGCGGAGGGGGCAAUCGGAAUUCUUGGUGUAGCGGUGAAAUGCGUAGAUAUCAAGAGGAACACCUGAGGUGAAGACGGGUUGCUGGGCCGACACUGACGCUGACAGCGCGAAAGCCAGGGGAGCAAACGGGAUUAGAUACCCCGGUAGUCCUGGCCCUAAACGAUGAAUACUUGGUGUCUGGAGUCUUAAUGCUCCGGGUGCCGUCGCUAACGUUUUUAGUAUUCCGCCUGGGGAGUACGCUCGCAAGAGUG
rnacentral:rRNA from 1 species